CUGGUNAGGGGCUCGAUGUCGCCCCGCUGCGACUUCCUGACCCGGAGCUUUGCCCGCAUCGCUGGCUGCACUUAGGUAGCGCUGUCAUGCCCUACCCGGAGCUCCGCUAUUUAAAUAAUUUAGUGGCGGCAGCAGCAGCGCUUCCCUGCCCGCUUGUCACCUUCUCCCGGCCCCCGCCAUCAAUUAUUCAGGACCAUCCCGGUAACUGCCUGGAGUCGGGCGCGGAGAACAGGGCGACGGCGGGGCCCUGCCUGGGGCCGGUCGCUGGAUCUUGGAGGCCUGGAAGAAGCGCGACCGGCCCUCGGGGCGGCAGCCCCCACCGGACCGCGAAAAGUUACUGUCACCUCGCCCCGGCGGAGAGAGGUUGCGGGAGGAUCCCCGCCGUCUGUCGGUUCCCAGGGGGACGGGACUAGGGGGCGGGUGGCAGGACGCGGCGAGGCCGCACGGACUGCUUCGGAUCAACCCGGGCGUCCGGACUGAAUGCCGGUGGCAGCUUUGCUCCUCCUCGGUCGGUCCGGUGUCCCCAACUCCCACUUCCCCACCAUCCGCUCCCCCGCCCUUCCCCUUCUCCCGGCUCCUCCUCCUCUCCUUCCUUCUCAGCCCUCCCCCAGCCCGACUACCCCUGCCCUUGCGCCUUUCUGCCCUGGGUCUCUCCUGUCACCACCGCGUCGUCCUGCCACGCUUCCCCUUCCCCACCCAGCCUGCCCUACGCCCUUCCUUGGCGCGGCACUGCGCUCCUCUUUCGCGUGCGAGAUGUAUUAUUUAUUUAUUGGUGUUUAAUUUCCUGCCAGGUGGGUUUCUGCCUCCCACCCGUGAGCGUAGCGGAGCCGGGGCUCCGCGGGGCGGGCCGGGCCGGGAGGAGGUGGGCUGCUGCGUGCCCGUCUGUGCCCGAUUCCGAGGUAGCAGCGAGACUUGAUUUUUGCGGGGGGGCGGGGAGGGGGAGGGGUGUCAAGGCGAGGAGGGGUGGCGAUGUUUGGGAUGCACAGCCCUGGGACGGGAACGCCGCGCAGACAGACAGGCAGACACACACACAGGCGUGCACAUACACCAAACCCGAAAGCAAGGACAACCCCAAAAAGGACUCACUUUGCCUCGAUGACUCAACGCAACUAAUAACCGUUUCUCUGCUCUCUGUGGCGAGUCCCUCCUGCCGCUGCUCUCGUUGGCAGAGGAGGGAGCGAUUGAAAGUGACACACGGGGGGCCGCCGCCGCCACUUCUCCGCGCCGCCAGGCACUCGCCGCCGCCGCGGAGCCCGGGAGAGCGGCGCUCCCUCCUCUUCUCCUCCCCCUGUUUACCCCCGGUAUUGAUUUUCUCCGCUGAAGGUGUGAGAAGUCGGCUCCCUCUCCCUUCUUUUCUGCGCCGCAGCCGCCGGCCCCACGCCUCCCCGCCCCCUCGUCCCGACCUC
rnacentral:lncRNA from 1 species